UCAAUUAUGUGGAUAGUUUUUCCUGAUCAUCAUCUUUUUUCUCCCUAUUUUUUUGUUUUCCUUCGCUUCUUCUUCUCGGAGGCUUCAUAGAAGAGCAAGAAAACAGAAGGUCCAAUUAAUUCACGAAGGUGUAGAGAACGAAAUUCAGUGAACGUGAAUUGUGAUGGCCAUGAGAACGAAAUUUCUUCUUAUACGCUGCGAAAAGGAGUGCGUCACACCCAAAGAGGAGAGAUUUUUUGUGGGGAAGGCCUACACUUUCUGACACUUCAUUGAAAGCUCUUCUUUCUCGAGUCUUCUUUCACUUUUCUGAAAGUUCUUUCUUUUCUCGAUUUUUUGCAUCGUCUACCUUGUCAUUCGUUAGAAAAAUCAAAAGUUAAAUGUGUUUAUUUCAGAACAGCUUAUUCUUAUCGUACAUUAAGAAGCACAUUUAAGAAAAGUUUUUUUUUUUUAUUUUGAGAGUUCAAGAAAAGGUUUUUAUGUUAAAUUGAAUCUCAUUUGUUUUUUUUUUUGUAAGAUACUUUUUGUUGGUGUGCUGCUCGUUUUGUGAUGUUGAAAUGAGAAAUUUAUGGAAAUGGAAGUUUAUGGAAAUUUAUUGCUGCAUCUUCACGAAGAUGUAAAUUCUUAUUCAUGAAAAAUCUACCCCACGUUCGUUCAAAUAAUCCUAAAAUUUUGGGAAGAAAACUGUCAAAAAAAUUGCCGGGAAAAAAUGACCGUUGAACUGGUCUUUUAUAUUAUACUCCAUAUAGAUUUCACAAUUCAUCAACUUAUCAACUUCUCCCUCGCAAGAAGGCUCAAGCGAGUACAACACUUAUCAGUUCAAGCAUUCUUCAGGCUUUGUGACCAAGGGGAUUAGCGUUGCUUUCCCAAGACAGGUUUAUAUGUGUAUGAUCUUCAGGCUUUGCCUAUCCAGGCUCGCCACAACGAAUCAAUUGAGGUUCUCUUAUGGCCUACCACGUUAUUUGAGAAUUGUGUACACUCGUUAGCUGGCCUGGUGGGUUUGAUCUCCAUCGGGCACUAACUAAGAGGCGUUAUAAGGGUGCUUGCUGGAUGUGUUCCAAAGAAUGUAAUGUAAGGCCUGCCUGGAUAGCGUCUCGAGGUCAAUUCAACUUGUCUGAGUUACGUCCUCAGGGCAAAUGCAAUGGGAGAAAUGGAUCCGUCGGUGGCUAAAAGGUCCGGGAUCACAGCGAGUAACGGAAAGGGAGUGUGACAUGUACGCACAAAUGAAAGAAAUUAUUUUAACAUGCUUAGAAGUUCUUUCAAUUUAAAACCUUCUAAGUUAUGUCAAUUAUGAUUGGAUAAACUGUCUUUACGAAAAUAUGAAAUGUUUCAGAAAAUGCAUGCCCACUGAGUACAUUACUAUUUAGCCCAAAAAUACUUUCAAUUAUUUUCAGGUUGGCUGGUCGGUGCUGACGGGACUGAGCUGAGGUUAGGGUUCAACUUCUUAUUAAGACUUCCGUUGUAACACUAAAUAAUAUCUUGUCUUUUGUUUUCCCUAAGUUAAGACUUUCAUAUUCUAUUUCAAAUUACAUAUAGUUUUAUGCUAAUGAAUGUUGGUUAUCAGAAGCAUGAAACAAAACUUGUGAUCUAAAGGGGCCUAGCCCAACUUGUUACAUUCUAUUCGGUUUCAACAAGGAUUUUCCCUUGUAUUAUUUUCA